AUUGAACGCUGGCGGCAGGCCUAACACAUGCAAGUCGAGCGGUAGAAGGGAGCUUGCUUCCUUUGAGAGCGGCGGACGGGUGAGUAAUGCCUAGGAAUCUGCCUGGUAGUGGGGGAUAACGUUCGGAAACGGACGCUAAUACCGCAUACGUCCUACGGGAGAAAGUGGGGGAUCUUCGGACCUCACGCUAUCAGAUGAGCCUAGGUCGGAUUAGCUAGUUGGUGAGGUAAUGGCUCACCAAGGCGACGAUCCGUAACUGGUCUGAGAGGAUGAUCAGUCACACUGGAACUGAGACACGGUCCAGACUCCUACGGGAGGCAGCAGUGGGGAAUAUUGGACAAUGGGCGCAAGCCUGAUCCAGCCAUGCCGCGUGUGUGAAGAAGGUCUUCGGAUUGUAAAGCACUUUAAGUUGGGAGGAAGGGUAGUAGCUUAAUACGUUGCUAC
rnacentral:rRNA from 1 species